UUUUCCGCCGGGAGUGGGGCCGGAACUGGCCGUUCCUAGUCGGCUUCGCCAUCACCGGCGCCGUCAUCACCAAGAUGUCCCUCGGUCUCACUGAGGAGGACGCUAAGAACUCUAAAUUCGCGCAGAGGCACAAAAAGUGAUUUUAGGCUCAAAGACCAUGCUGGAUAAGGCAUUUGCACCUGGGACAGCUGCACUUUUCUUUUUUCAUUUCCUCUGUUUUCUAUUGUUUCUAAACUAAUCAGACGAUGCUGAUUUCAUAAAGCAUCCCUAGAGCUUUUGGUGGAUGCAAAACUUUGCUUUGGCCUAUAAAGAAAUUUGGGAACUGUUAAUUAGAAGAGUGUUUUCUCUCCCCUUCUGCUCUGUAAUGAGCUUCAAACGCAAAUAUUUAAAAUACUGAUUUCUGUUUUCCAUGUUAAA